AGAGUUUGAUCCUGGCUCAGAUUGAACGCUGGCGGCAGGCCUAACACAUGCAAGUCGAGCGGUAGAGAGAAGCUUGCUUCUCUUGAGAGCGGCGGACGGGUGAGUAAUGCCUAGGAAUCUGCCUGGUAGUGGGGGAUAACGUUCGGAAACGGACGCUAAUACCACAUACGUCCUACGGGAGAAAGCAGGGGACCUUCGGCCUUGCGCUAUCAGAUGAGCCUAAAUCGGAUUAGCUAGUUGGUGAGGUAAUGGCUCACCAAGGCAACGAUCCGUAACUGGUCUGAGAGGAUGAUCAGUCACACUGGAACUGAGACACGGUCCAGACUCCUACGGGAGGCAGCAGUGGGGAAUAUUGGACAAUGGGCGAAAGCCUGAUCCAGCCAUGCCGCGUGUGUGAAGAAGGUCUUCGGAUUGUAAAGCACUUUAAGUUGGGAGGAAGAGCAGUUACCUAAUACGAAUUGUUUUGACGUUACCGACAGAAUAAGCACCGGCUAACUCCGUGCCAGCAGCCGCGGUAAUACGGAGGGUGCAAGCGUUAUCCGGAUUUAUUGGGUUUAAAGGGUGCGUAGGCGGUAUUUUAAGUCCGUGGUGAAAUGUUACAGCUUAACUGUAGAAUUGCCAUUGAAACUGAAGUACUUGAGUUAUCUUGAGGUAGGCGGAAUGUGUAGUGUAGCGGUGAAAUGUUUAGAUAUUACACAGAACACCGAUUGCGAAGCAGCUUACUAAGGAUAUACUGACGCUGAGGCACGAAAGCGUGGGGAUCAAACAGGAUUAGAUACCCUGGUAGUCCACGCCGUAAACGAUGAUGACUCGCUGUUGGCGAUACACAGUCAGCGGCUUAGCGAAAGCGUUAAGUCAUCCACCUGGGGAGUACGCUCGCAAGAGUGAAACUCAAAGGAAUUGACGGGGGCCCGCACAAGCGGAGGAACAUGUGGUUUAAUUCGAUGAUACGCGAGGAAUCUUACCUGGGCUAAAUGUGCUAUGACCGCUGGAGAAAUUCGGCUUUUCGCAAGAACAGAGUACAAGGUGCUGCAUGGUUGUUGUCAGCUCGUGCUGUGAGGUGUCGGGUUAAGUCCCAUAACGAGCGCAACCCUUAUUGUCAGUUGCUAACAGGUUAAGCUGAGGACUCUGGCGAGACUGCCACCGUAAGGUGUGAGGAAGGUGGGGAUGACGUCAAAUCAGCACGGCCCUUAUGUCCAGGGCUACACACGUGUUACAAUGGCCGAUACAAGGGCAGCUACCAGGCGACUGGAUGCUAAUCUCUAAAGUCGGUCUCAGUUCGGAUCGGAGUCUGAAACUCGACUCCGUGAAGCUGGAUUCGCUAGUAAUCGCGCAUCAGCCAUGGCGCGGUGAAUACGUUCCCGGGCCUUGUACACACCGCCCGUCAAACCAUGGGAGUUGAGGGUACCUGAAGUAUGUGACCGCAAGGAGCGUCCUAGGGUAAAAUCGAUGACUGGGGUUAAGUCGUAACAAGGUAACC
rnacentral:rRNA from 1 species